rnacentral:rRNA from 1 species
GCUUCUCUCUGAUUAGCGGCGGACGGGUGAGUAACACGUGGGUAACCUACCCUAUAGACUGGGAUAACUUCGGGAAACCGGAGCUAAUACCGGAUAAUACUUCGAAACACAUGUUUUUAGAAGUUGAAAGAUGGUUUCGGCUAUCACUAUAGGAUGGACCCGCGGCGCAUUAGCUAGUUGGUGAGGUAACGGCUCACCAAGGCAACGAUGCGUAGCCGACCUGAGAGGGUGAUCGGCCACACUGGGACUGAGACACGGCCCAGACUCCUACGGGAGGCAGCAGUAGGGAAUCUUCCACAAUGGACGAAAGUCUGAUGGAGCAACGCCGCGGUGAGUGAAGAAGGAUUUCGGUUCGUAAAACUCUGUUGCAAGGGAAGAACAAGUAGCGUAGUAACUGGCGCUACCUUGACGGUACCUUGUUAGAAAGCCACGGCUAACUACGUGCCAGCAGCGGC